rnacentral:rRNA from 1 species
CCAAUAGCGGCUGCUAUAAUGCAGUCGUGCGGACCUUUUAAAAGCUUGCUUUUAAAAGGUUAGCGGCGGACGGGUGAGUAACACGUGGGCAACCUGCCUGUAAGACUGGGAUAACGCCGGGAAACCGGGGCUAAUACCAGAUAGUUUUUUCCUCCGCAUGGAGGAAAAAGGAAAGGCGGCUUCGGCUGCCACUUACAGAUGGGCCCGCGGCGCAUUAGCUAGUUGGCGGGGUAACGGCCCACCAAGGCAACGAUGCGUAGCCGACCUGAGAGGGUGAUCGGCCACAUUGGGACUGAGACACGGCCCAAACUCCUACGGGAGGCAGCAGUAGGGAAUCUUCCGCAAUGGACGAAAGUCUGACGGAGCAACGCCGCGUGAGUGAAGAAGGCCUUCGGGUCGUAAAACUCUGUUGCCGGGGAAGAACAAGUGCCGUUCGAACAGGGCGGCGCCUUGACGGUACCCGGCCAGAAAGCCACGGCUAACUACGUGCCAGCAGCCGCGGUAAUACGUAGGUGGCAAGCGUUGUCCGGAAUUAUUGGGCGUAAAGCGCGCGCAGGCGGCUUCUUAAGUCUGAUGUGAAAUCUUGCGGCUCAACCGCAAGCGGUCAUUGGAAACUGGGAGGCUUGAGUGCAGAAGAGGAGAGUGGAAUUCCACGUGUAGCGGUGAAAUGCGUAGAGAUGUGGAGGAACACCAGUGGCGAAGGCGGCUCUCUGGUCUGUAACUGACGCUGAGGCGCGAAAGCGUGGGGAGCAAACAGGAUUAGAUACCCUGGUAGUCCACGCCGUAAACGAUGAGUGCUAAGUGUUAGAGGGUUUCCGCCCUUUAGUGCUGCAGCUAACGCAUUAAGCACUCCGCCUGGGGAGUACGGCCGCAAGGCUGAAACUCAAAGGAAUUGACGGGGGGCCCGCACAAGCGGUGGAGCAUGUGGUUUAAUUCGAAGCAACGCGAAGAACCUUACCAGGUCUUGACAUCCUCUGACCUCCCUGGAGACAGGCCUUCCCCUUCGGGGGACAGAGUGACAGUUGCAUGGUGUCGUCAGCUCGUGUCGUGAGAUGAUGGUAAGUCCCGCAACGAGCGCAACCACUGA